ACCAGACUCCUACGGGAGGCAGCAGUGGGGAAUUUUGGACAAUGGGCGCAAGCCUGAUCCAGCUAUUCCGCGUGUGGGAUGACGGCCCUCGGGUUGUAAACCACUUUAGUAGAGAACGAAAAGGAGCUAUCGAAUAAAUAGCUCUGCUGACGGUACUCUAAGAAUAAGCCACGGCUAACUACGUGCCAGCAGCCGCGGUAAUACGUAGGUGGCAAGCGUUAUCCGGAUUUACUGGGUGUAAAGGGCGUGUAGGCGGGACUGCAAGUCAGAUGUGAAAACCACGGGCUCAGCCUGUGGCCUGCAUUUGAAACUGUAGUUCUUGAGUACUGGAGAGGCAGACGGAAUUCCUAGUGUAGCGGUGAAAUGCGUAGAUAUUAGGAGGAACACCAGUGGCGAAGGCGGUCUGCUGGACAGCAACUGACGCUGAGGCGCGAAAGCGUGGGGAGCAAACAGGAUUAGAUACCCGUGUA
rnacentral:rRNA from 1 species